AGAGUUUGAUCAUGGCUCAGAUUGAACGCUGGCGGCAGGCCUAACACAUGCAAGUCGAACGGUAACAGGAAGCAGCUUGCUGCUUCGCUGACGAGUGGCGGACGGGUGAGUAAUGUCUGGGAAACUGCCUGAUGGAGGGGGAUAACUACUGGAAACGGUAGCUAAUACCGCAUAAUGUCGCAAGACCAAAGAGGGGGACCUUCGGGCCUCUUACCAUCGGAUGUGCCCAGAUGGGAUUAGCUUGUUGGUGGGGUAACGGCUCACCAAGGCGACGAUCCCUAGCUGGUCUGAGAGGAUGACCAGCCACACUGGAACUGAGACACGGUCCAGACUCCUACGGGAGGCAGCAGUGGGGAAUAUUGCACAAUGGGCGCAAGCCUGAUGCAGCCAUGCCGCGUGUAUGAAGAAGGCCUUCGGGUUGUAAAGUACUUUCAGCGGGGAGGAAGGGAGUAAAGUUAAUACCUUUGCUCAUUGACGUUAUCCGCAGAAGAAGCACCGGCUAACUCCGUGCCAGCAGCCGCGGUAAUACGGAGGGUGCAAGCGUUAAUCGGAAUUACUGGGCGUAAAGCGCACGCAGGCGGUUUGUUAAGUCAGAUGUGAAAUCCCCGGGCUCAACCUGGGAACUGCAUCUGAUACUGGCAAGCUUGAGUCUCGUAGAGGGGGGUAGAAUUCCAGGUGUAGCGGUGAAAUGCGUAGAGAUCUGGAGGAAUACCGGUGGCGAAGGCGGCCCCCUGGACGAAGACUGACGCUCAGGUGCGAAAGCGUGGGGAGCAAACAGGAUUAGAUACCCUGGUAGUCCACGCCGUAAACGAUGUCGACUUGGAGGUUGUGCCCUUGAGGCGUGGCUUCCGGAGCUAACGCGUUAAGUCGACCGCCUGGGGAGUACGGCCGCAAGGUUAAAACUCAAAUGAAUUGACGGGGGCCCGCACAAGCGGUGGAGCAUGUGGUUUAAUUCGAUGCAACGCGAAGAACCUUACCUGGUCUUGACAUCCACGGAAGUUUUCAGAGAUGAGAAUGUGCCUUCGGGAACCGUGAGACAGGUGCUGCAUGGCUGUCGUCAGCUCGUGUUGUGAAAUGUUGGGUUAAGUCCCGCAACGAGCGCAACCCUUAUCCUUUGUUGCCAGCGGUCCGGCCGGGAACUCAAAGGAGACUGCCAGUGAUAAACUGGAGGAAGGUGGGGAUGACGUCAAGUCAUCAUGGCCCUUACGACCAGGGCUACACACGUGCUACAAUGGCGCAUACAAAGAGAAGCGACCUCGCGAGAGCAAGCGGACCUCAUAAAGUGCGUCGUAGUCCGGAUUGGAGUCUGCAACUCGACUCCAUGAAGUCGGAAUCGCUAGUAAUCGUGGAUCAGAAUGCCACGGUGAAUACGUUCCCGGGCCUUGUACACACCGCCCGUCACACCAUGGGAGUGGGUUGCAAAAGAAGUAGGUAGCUUAACCUUUGGGAGGGCGCUUACCACUUUGUGAUUCAUGACUGGGGUGAAGUCGUAACAAGGUAACCGUAGGGGAACCUGCGGUUG
rnacentral:rRNA from 1 species